ACCGGGAUGGCCAAAUGGUUAAGACCUUGGACUUAAGGUCCAAUGGACAUGUGCCCAUGUAGGUUAGAACCCUACUCCCAGUA
rnacentral:tRNA from 1 species